rnacentral:rRNA from 1 species
UCAGGCCUAACACAUGCAAGUCGAACGAGAUUAUAGGGUAAGCUUGCUUACCUUAUAUGACAGUGGCGCACGGGUGCGUAACGCGUAUGCAAUCUACCUUAAUCAGGGGGAUAGCCUCUCGAAAGAGAGAUUAAUACCGCAUAACAUUAUGAUAUGGCAUCAUAUUAUAAUCAAACAUUUAUGGGAUUAAGAUGAGCAUGCGUGACAUUAGCUAGUUGGUGAGGUAACGGCUCACCAAGGCAACGAUGUCUAGGGGAUCUGAGAGGAUGACCCCCCACACUGGUACUGAGACACGGACCAGACUCCUACGGGAGGCAGCAGUAAGGAAUAUUGGUCAAUGGACGCAAGUCUGAACCAGCCAUGCCGCGUGCAGGAAGACGGCCCUAUGGGUUGUAAACUGCUUUUAUACGGGAAUAAACCUUCUUUCGUGAAAGAAGCUGA